UGGGGAAUCUUCCGCAAUGGACGAAAGUCUGACGGAGCAACGCCGCGUGAGUGAAGAAGGUUUUCGGAUCGUAAAACUCUGUCUUUUGGGGCGAACGUGAGUAUGGUGAACAAUCAUAGUCAGUGACGGUACCAAAGGAGGAAGCCACGGCUAACUACGUGCCAGCAGCCGCGGUAAUACGUAGGUGGCAAGCGUUGUCCGGAAUUAUUGGGCGUAAAGAGCGCGUAGGCGGGAUAGUCAGUCUGUUGUAAAGUGCGGGGCUCAACCCCGUGAUGGCAAUGGAAACAGCUAUUCUUGAGUGCAGGAGAGGAAAGUGGAAUUCCCAGUGUAGCGGUGAAAUGCGUAGAUAUUGGGAGGAACACCAGUGGCGAAGGCGACUUUCUGGACUGUGUCUGACGCUGAGGCGCGAAAGCCAGGGGAGCGAACGGGAUUAGAUACCCCGGUAGUCCUGGCCGUAAACGAUGGGUACUAGGUGUGGGAGGUAUCGACCCCCUUCCGUGCCGGAGUUAACGCAAUAAGUACCCCGCCUGGGGAGUACGGUCGCAAGACUGAAACUCAAAUGAAUUGACGGGGGUCAUAGCUGUUUCCUG
rnacentral:rRNA from 1 species